rnacentral:rRNA from 1 species
UAGGGAAUCUUCCACAAUGGACGAAAGUCUGAUGGAGCAACGCCGCGUGAGCGAAGAAGGUUUUCGGAUCGUAAAGCUCUGUUGUGAGGGAAGAACAAGUACAGGAGUAACUGUCUGUACCUUGACGGUACCUCAUUAGAAAGCCACGGCUAACUACGUGCCAGCAGCCGCGGUAAUACGUAGGUGGCAAGCGUUGUCCGGAAUUAUUGGGCGUAAAGCGCGCGCAGGCGGCCUUUUAAGUCUGAUGUGAAAGCCCACGGCUUAACCGUGGAAGGUCAUUGGAAACUGAAAGGCUUGAGGACA